AACGAACGCUGGCGGCAGGCUUAACACAUGCAAGUCGAACGGGCACCUUCGGGUGUCAGCGGCAGACGGGUGAGUAACGCGUGGGAACGUACCCUUCGGUUCGGAAUAACCCAGGGAAACUUGGGCUAACACCGGAUACGUCCGCAAGGAGAAAGAUUUAUCGCCGAAGGAUCGGCCCGCGUCGGAUUAGCUAGUUGGUGGGGUAAUGGCCCACCAAGGCGACGAUCCGUAGCUGGUCUGAGAGGAUGAUCAGCCACACUGGGACUGAGACACGGCCCAGACUCCUACGGGAGGCAGCAGUGGGGAAUAUUGGACAAUGGGCGAAAGCCUGAUCCAGCCAUGCCGCGUGAGUGAAGAAGGCCUUAGGGUUGUAAAGCUCUUUCAGCGGGAAGAUAAUGACGGUACCCG
rnacentral:rRNA from 1 species